UACGUAGGGUGCGAGCGUUGUCCGGAAUUAUUGGGCGUAAAGGGCUCGUAGGCGGUUUGUCGCGUCGGGAGUGAAAACUCAGGGCUUAACCCUGAGCCUGCUUCCGAUACGGGCAGACUAGAGGUAUGCAGGGGAGAAUGGAAUUCCUGGUGUAGCGGUGAAAUGCGCAGAUAUCAGGAGGAACACCGGUGGCGAAGGCGGUUCUCUGGGCCGAUACUGACGCUGAGGAGCGAAAGCGUGGGGAGCGAACAGG
rnacentral:rRNA from 1 species